GAGGAAAAAAAUUAAAAAAAUCCUUGUCCGAAUACAGUACAGUUGCUAUUUAGUCCACUUGCGAAAAAAAGCGGGGGGGACAUUGAUCUACAUUGUCCGAUUUGUCAUUAUGAUGUUGAUUACGAUUUAGGAAAAGGUGAGGAUGUUUCUUCUAUCCCAAGCCGAUGUCCUCACCUAGAGGAUAAUUUAUUUUAAAGUCCCUCUACCUUAUACGAUUAAUCAAUUAAUUUUUUUUUGUCACUUAAAAUCGUUUGAUUAUCUUUGGCCUUUAUUAGCAUUAGAUAAAUUUGAUAAUAUCACCUUACAAUAUAAACUAAUCAAGUUUCUCAUAUAAACAUGUUAUUUUUGUGUCUUGAUAUUUUAAAUAUUUAGUUUAUCACCUCUAAUUUUUUUUUUAAUGUAGGCCAAUAAUUUUUAUGAUAUACUUAAGAGAGAUGUCGCUAUGAUAAAUGUAUAUUUUAAUUUAGUUAAAAAAUCAAUAAUCAAAAUAUUACGUUUGGCCAAAAUCUGAUUUGUUCGAUUUUGGCCUAGAAGCAAAUCAAAUCGAAACCAAUUAGUUUAUGAUUUUGUAAAUCAAAUAUGAACCAAACACUAGAAUAGAAAUUAACUGACCCAAUUUUGUUUUGUUUGUUUCGAGCAAUUUUACCCUAUUUAUUAAUGAAAAAAAAAAAUAAUAGUAAUAUGCUACUACUAGAAUAAUAAUCUUGAAUCUAUAAAUUCACAACUAAUAAAGAAUAUAAUAAGUUGAAUAAAUUAACAUAAUAAAGUCCAACAUGAAAUAAACUUACAUAGUAUAAAAAUCUACUACAAAUUAUGAAUCCACAACAAUAAAUAAAAUAAGAAAGCAAAAAUAAAAAUCACAUAUAAAAUAAACUUCAAGUUCCAUUGCCAAUUUACCAUUGAUAUUCACAACUUUUUGAUUCUUUAAAAUGUCUUUAACAAUAUAUACUAGAACUCCACACUAAGUUACUAACUCACAUCUACAUCCAUAAUACUUAUAUUAUCUUUUAAAGCAAACCACACAGCAAUAAUUAAGUAAAUUAAAAUAAAGUGUCUACUAUCACAAUAUUAAUCACACGUACUCAAUAGCAUAAAAUCUAUUCUAAAUUUUUUUUAUUUGAAUUGUAUGAUUUUUCAGUUUGAUUCAAUUUUAAAUAGAACCCAAUAAAAAUCAAUUGGUUCAAAGAUUUAUGAACCAUUUGGUUUUGCCGCCAAAUCAAACUGCCAUAAUACAAUUCCGCUUGAUUAAUAGAAUUGAAAUGAAAGCCCACCACUAAUAAAAUAUAUAAAGUAAUAUGAAUAACACAUUUUCUUUACUCAUCGGUUUUUCGAUGUUCUUAGAGCAAUUUUAAUUGUCAUGAGACUUUAUAAAGUGUUGCAGGGAAAAAAUUUAUAAACCUAUCAAAACUUUUGCCAAAAAAAUGAUAUAAAUAAUAAUGAUAGAUUAUAUUGAAAAUAGGCAAAACUACGUUGCCACAGUGGUAGUUACCCAAUUGUUUAUCAUGCAGGCUGCAUGUACUAAAUUGUUCACUAAUAUUCAAUGAAUUACAUUGAGCCCCGCAACAACUGCAAGUGACUUCUUUUUUAAAUUAUAUGAAACUAUUACUCAAAUUACAAUUUAAAUAAUUAAAAUGUGAAUAUUGCCCAAGUUAUUUUAUCAGGCAAAGAAAACCAUUAAUGAUUUGGGCCUCGGGUAUAACCAAUUCGACGCUUGUACUAAUGAUUGUAUGCUAUAUAUACAGGAAAGAGAAAAAGUCAGCACUCUUCAUAUUCAGUAUCUGGCGCUUCUAGAGGAGAAAGCCACACCAGAAGCUGCAAACCAAUCAUUUAAUAAUACUCGUAAAAUUCUUUCAAAAUUUUGCGGUAUUUUCUUUUGAUACCAAGGCUUCAAAGAUAUUACAUGAAAAAAAAACAAAACGCAGUUUCAUUUAUGUAGUGGCAUGAAAAUGAUCGUGUCAAAGAUGUUAUGUUGAGGUAUCCCACUGAUUCUGAAGCCUAGAAAAGCUUUGAUGAACGUUAUCCAGAGUUUCGUUCAGAUCCUCACAAUGUAGGAUUAGGGCAAGCAAAUGAUGGAUUUAACCUAUUUGUCACAAUGAGUGUUGAUCGGAGUGUAUGGCCAGUUGUUUUAAUGGUUUACAAUUAACUGCUGCAGAAUUUAAUAGUACUUUUGUGGUUAUUAUUUCAAUAUUAUAUGUGUGAGGUCUUUUGUACCAUCAGUUGAAUUGAAUAUCAUACGGAAUCAUGUCAUGUAACUUGAAUGAUACUUGAAUGAAAUUUAUAUUUCUUAUCUCAUGACAUGUGGUUAUAUUCUAUUAUUGUCAUUGAUGGAUUUCAAAUUGGCAAGUAAAAAUCAUUAUUUAUUAAUGACCUAGAUGAAGACUACUAAGACAAUGACUCAAGACACAUUCAUGUCGCUAGAUUGGAAAAUUUCUGAAUGUUCUUAGAGUACUAUUUUUUUUUUCAUUUACUUCGUAUCAUGUAUAUACUUUAACCAAUCAUUAUGAUAUAUUCGUAUCAGAUGGUGAAUAGAUAAAGAAUAAUCUCCAGAAACAUCUACGACCUUCUCGGGACUACGGAAGGAAGAGCACCACUCUAUGUUGAGAACGGUGUUUGGGAUGGUGAUUUCUCUCAUACAUGACAAAUCACCAAUGCACAAAAACAAUGCCCUAAAUUGCAAUUUUGUUCUGGACUUCGAGUUUGAAUAUCGGUCAGAACUAUAUUGCAAUAUUGCUUUAUACCUAGAAUCUAUUUCAUUCACAAUUAUAUAUUGUACUACCUAAUCGAGAUAAUCAGUUGUUUUCAACUGAUAGACUUAAACUUCCAUUUUAGUUUGUAUUAGUCAAUGUAUCUAGUUGUAUCUAGCUGUUACCCAUAGAUAUAGGAUUCAGUUUGUAACUUCUCUAGUUUAUAGGAUCUUCAAUUAUCUUCUAAUGUAUUUAUAUACGGUUGAUUUAUCAAUAAGAAUGUGCUCAGUUUUACAAAUCUGUCAUGGUAUCAGAGCCGAACCAGAGAUAACAAACUCAAAUAUUCAUUUUAUUUUUCUUCUCACAUCCCAUUCCUUUCAUCACUCUUGAACAGCCAUGGCUACCUCUUUCCCCUCCAUUCUCAGCACCAAUGAAUCCCAAAACGCCCUCAUCAGCAUAAAUGUUGCUGCCCAAACCCCUCUAAAACUCACCUCCACCAACUACCUCUCAUGAUCUUCAAUUAUCACAAGAUUGGACUUCUCUCCCGAGCUCCAUCUUGAGGGGGCAUAAUAGAGAUAAUCAGUUGUUUUCAACUGAUAGACUUAGACUUUCAUUUCAGUUUGUAUUAGUCAAUGUAUCUAGUUGUAUAUAGUUGUCACCCAUAGAUAUAGGAUUCAGUUUGUAACUUCCCUAGUUUAUAGGAUCUUCAAUUAUCUUCUAAUGUAUUUAUAUACUGUUGAUUUAUCAAUAAGAAUGUGCUCAGUUUUACAAAUCUGUCACUACCCUUUCCAUAUAGCAUACCAUAUAUGGAAAUUAAAUUUCAUCGAUGAUAUUUUCAAUCCACCACCCUAAUUGUUUUUUUUUUUCGCUACACUACCAAUGUUCGUCUAUGUUGUAAUCAUUUAUUUAAUUUAAACUAUUAUUUUUUGAAAUGAAUUACCACAAUCCCUGAAUCUCUCUAUUAAUCCUGAAGUAAAAAGAACAUCCUUUGUUUUUUUAAAUUUUCUAAGAUAAAUACUAUUCCAACACGCACUUCCAUGGUGCGAAGAAUGCUAUCCAGCCUUCACAUGCAUUUACUAGCUUGCCGCAUAAACCAUACAAUUUUUAUUUUUAUUUUAUUUUUAUUUUAACUUCUUAUACAAAGUUUUGGUAUUUUUUGACGUUACACUAGUGCUUGGCUGUCAGCAGAUUACCGACAACUAUUGACUUUUCAAGUUACUUACAAUUGUUACCGAUAAAUCUUGGCUUUACUGGGAGAACAUUUGUUCUCACCAUUAAUACGACCAUGUGUUCGAAUUUUCAUAAAAAUAAUUAUGAGGUUUUAUUUUCUUCAUCAUAUCUUUCUAUAAUUUUUACAAUUUUUAGAUCCUCUCUGUCUUUCGCAAUUUAUGUAAAUUUUGACACGUGUGCUUUUUCUCCCCUUAAUUAUUCUACUGUCAUUUUGCUUUCACUAUUCAUAUUGGGAGGGAGACAUUGGCGGCCAAGGCAAGGGAUGAAACUGAAAGUAAAAAGUUAAACGAGACUCCUGUGCGUUUCCGAUUGCUCUGCUGAAAAGCUAAAGAUUAUGAGCUGGUAAAGGGGUUUGGUUGCCGUGGCCUUUAGUUGGCUUAGGAAGAUAUAAGAUCCGUUUGGGGCAACUACGCGGUGGCAGCGCAGCUAUUCCAAACGGGUCUAUAGUUUGUAAUUAUGGUUUAAAAGUUAUUCCAUAUAUAUUAGUUUAAUAAAAAAUUUAUAACAAUUUUUAUUUAAAUUAUUAUUUGAAAGUUAUGUUAUCAAACACUAUCGAUUCUUAUUUUAAAAUUAUAAAUUUUUAUUUCACAACUUGUGCAACUUAUAAUUACCGGCCAUAAAAUUCAAAACGAAGCCUAAAUCUAGAAGGUGCAAAUGCCGCCGAAAUUUUUAAACUUUGGAUGGUCGCUUAAUUUGGUUGUGAUUAUUUGAUUAUUUUAUUGUGAUCUUAUGUAAUGACCUAUUAUAUAAGACUUUAUUUGGAAGGACACGAACAACUGCGACGGAUUACAUUGUAAUGGGAUUCAUUUAAUCACAUAUACACGAGACUAAGAGGUUGUUUGUUAAAUAUCUGAAGUCUGAAAUUUUAUUAAUUUCAGACCUUUUCUAAAAUUUACUUGUUUGUUUUUUUUGAAACUUACGUUUGAUUUUCAGACAUUUACAUCUGAAUAGAAAAAGUAAACUUUUGUAACUUUUAUCUGAAUGGAAAAAUGUCUGAAUGACAAGUAAAUAUUAUAUUCAAAAAAUAUCUCUGUAAAAUAACUUAUUUCUUAAACUAUAAAAUCUAAUACUCUUUUUUUAUUUUAAUUUAUAAGGACAUAAAUGUCAAAUAACCAAGUUUAAGAUUUUUUUAAUUGUAAAAACAAACAAGAUGCCACAUAUAUUCAGAUAUUAAAAAAAUAAAAACAAAUAUGUCAUUUAGAUUUUCGUAUUCAGACCCAUUCAGACUUUAAAAAAAUUUAGACCCAUUUAAAUUUCAGGCAAAAAAACAAACGCUACUUAAGUGUUUAUUGUUUAGAGAGAUAUUUUGGCUUUUAAGUUACAGAUUGUAGUAAAAUAAAAGUUGCAACUACUAAGAAAUUUUUUUUUUUGCGAAUUGGGUAAUCUUUUACUUAUAAGUAUUCUAAGGUAAACUUAACAUAAUUAUGAAGUAAUUAAUAAUUUUUACUGUAAAAGUAAAAGUUAAAAAAAUUUGACAUGCCUUGAAACUCCGUAUGUAACAUUAUAUCCAAAUAAUGAUCAAAGCAUAAACCAAGAAAUUCAAAAAUGGGCGAGGACUGAUGGAAAUUGCAUACGUUUUGGGAAUGAGUGGUACUAUUGGGCUAUUUAUGUAAAUUUCAUCAAAUUAUUCCACAAUUCACGAUAUCAUCAUCUUUGAAGAAGAUCUCAAUGCAUCUAUUUAUUUUAUUUGAUAUAGUAGAUUUUUUAACUCAUAUGAAGAAUCAUUUAAUCAAAUCUCUUAGAAGUAUACGCAUAGGAAUCACCUAUUAGGGGUGUUCAGAAUUCAAUCCAACCCACUUAAUCCGUUUGAUCCACAAAAAUCUUAUCCGUAAAAGUUCGAUUUGUGGAUUGGUAGAUUUGAUUGAAUAAAAAAUUUAAAAAUCCACAGUCGAUGGAUUGAUAUAGAUUUACUUUUGUAAAUCUACAAAAAUCUGUGAAUUCGCAAAAAAAAUAAUUAUUUAAUUAAACAUAAACUUGUGAAUGUGGCAUUACUACUUACUAAUAAAUAAGUUAAAAUGUAGUUAUUUUAAUAUUAUAUUAUAUCUUAUAUGAUAAUAAUAUAAAAUAAAAAUAAUUUAAUAAUUAAAGAAACAAACAUAGCCUCCUAAAUAGUUAAUUUUCACGUUUUGAUCUAAACAAAUGAGAUUUUUUUUUUCUUUUUGGUGUGUUAUAUUUUGAAAAUUUGGAUGUGUUAUUCUAGCUUUGUUUAAGUAAUAAAUUUAUUUAAAUUUUAUUCAAUUUUGAAUUUGAUCAGUAGUAAAAUUAUUUUUUAUAUUAAUUUUUUAUUUAAUUAGUUCGUGGAUUAGACAAAAUUAAAAAUUUUAAAUUCAUAAACCAAUCUACAAAAUGGUGGAUUGGAUAUGAAAUUAAUCAAAUCCGCAUCCAAUAUACAAAUAUAUGGAUUGAUUUUGGAUUGGAUUAAAAAUUUAUAAUCUACAAAAUCGUGAAUUUGAUAUAAAUUGAUGUUCAAUCCACAAAAUCCAAUCUGCAAACACCCUAUCACCUAUUGUCGCAUUUUUUCCCCUAAUUAUUGAUUGUUAUAAUAUAUUUUGUGAAUCCCUUCCCUCCCCCUCGUCGCCCCACCUCCCCAUCCCCCUCCACCCCACACCCACCAAAUAGGUGGAGCAAAUUUUGUUUGAUAAAGCUGUAAAUGUAGCUGUGGGCCAAAGCGGCUAGCAGGUUGGUAAUGCAACUUGACAUUUAAAGCUAGAAAUCGAAGCCUACUUGUUAAUGGGCUGGGAGUUAGAUACACCAAGGCCUAAUAGGCAGUGUAGGCUCUUCUUUAAAAUGAAGCCUCAGGUUCCGGACCCUAGGGCCUAAGAUAUUGUUUGUGGCUGGCACUGAGGUGUAACGUCGUAGCGCCUACUAGUCUCUCUAUGGCUCUAUGCAAAUGCAAGCGUAUGCGCAACAAACCAGCUGAGUAAUAGUCUCAUCGGGCUUGUUUCUUUGUCUCUCACAACUAUCUUCAUUCUUCUUUACUUAGAAUAUUAGUUCCCAUCUUAGAAAUCUCUUUCAUUGUUAUGGGCUAGAUCUAACUAAUGUGGCUGCAAUUUGGUUUAAACUUUAAUUAUGGGACAUUUUUGUUGUAUGAUGUACGACAAUUUAGGAAGCGUUUUAUUUCAUUUUGGUUCUUCUUAUUUUUAUCUUUUGGACUUGAUAAAUUUAGCAUUUGACAAGGUGCUCAAUUAUCUUAUUAUUCUAUUUUCGUUAUCAUAUUUUUUGCUUCAGCUAUUUCGUUAUUGUCAUAUACAAUAUAAUAUUUUUAAUGAGAAUCAAUGUUUUCAUUCAAGUAUGUGCUGGUUUCACAUUUGCUCACAUUUAUUUGUGUUAAAAAGUUUGUGUCUCAAAUAUCAUGGUAUUUAAGCUCGUUAACUUAUUAGGCGAUUCAAAAGUCGAAACUAGCAUUGUGGUCCUAAUUUGGAAACCAACCGAAGAAAAGAAGGGGAAAUUUAUGAAAAUAACCAUAAAACUUUUAUUAUUUUCACAAUUAACCCUCUCAACUUUUUUCUAUCAACAUUAGCCAAACACACGCUUUUUUCCCUAAAUUACCCUUCUUUACAAACCAAAAGCAACUUUCUUUCUCCCCUUUCGUCAAACUAAAGGUAGCUUUCUACUCUUGAAUCAUCAACCAACGGCGACGACAAAAGGCAACGAUAAAAGUGAAAUCCGAUCAUAAUAUAUGCAGAUCCAACAUUAAUCGGUGUCACAUAGUGGUAUGAGUUAUUUUCUGAACUUGCUCGAGAGUUUCAGUGAACUGCCAGUCGUGGGUGAAUCUGGCGACAAGUUGCCUGUCGCACGAAGCUUCACGCGAUAGGGAACCUGUCGCCCAAGGCUUGGAGCGACAGGCAGCCUGUAGCACCAAGCUUCGUGCGACAGGUUGCUUGUCGCCAGAUUCACCCACGACUUGCAGUUCACUGAAACUCUCGAGCAAGUUCAGAAAAUAACUCAUACCACUAUGUAUUAAUGAAAAUAAAUAAAAUAGCUAACUUAGGUUUUGUUGAAGACUGUAGAUGGUAGAUCGAACGCCGACGAUGGAUGAAGCAGCCGCCAACGAGGGCUGAUGUUACCGCCGAUGAUGGGAGUUUGUUCGGUUUGGGAGAGAUGGGUGAAAGAGAGUGUUGGGGGAGAGAUGAGAGAGAGGGGUAUUUUGCUCUCAAAGGUUCUUUUAUGGCUAAUGUUGAUAGAAAUUUAUUUGGGGAGUUAAGAUAAAAAAAAGCCAAAAUUUUUAUGGCUAUUGGUGUAAAUUUCCCUAGAAGAAACGAGCUUAAAUGGACUCGCCAUCAAAUCAUAUCCAUUUGAACUUAAAUCGAUCCACAGUCUCGCAAGCAAGUCAUUCGAUCGUCAAGUGGGAGCUUAAAAUGGAGAAAAAGGACAAUAACGAUUAACAAAUGUGACAAACAAUCACAAUCAAUCAUCUCUCUCUUUUUCACUUUCAUUACGUGUAGAAUGGAUCCCAUCCUUUUGUUUUUCCUCUUUUUUAACCACUUGUGGACGUUUUUCGUCCUGACUGCUUUGGCACAUCAAACACGUAACUCCAAUGAGGCAAUAAAUAUGAUUUUGUCUACUUUAUCUUUUUAUUUGUUCAUCAUCUCUUUGUCUUAGCUCCGGCUUCAUCACAAAGAAACCACAGACAAAAAAGGAUAGAAUUAAAGCACCUCUCACUUUGAAAUCCGGAUACGUACAAUAACAAUUUAGUAUGGUAUUCUUUUUUCUUCUUAGUUCUUUCCCUCUUCUUUUUUUUGGUAGGGGUGGGGGGGGGGGGGGGGUGGGGGGACAUUAUAUUGACUUACAAAUUUGGAAUUAUUGAAAUAAUCAAGAAUAAUAAACCAUAUUGUUGAUUCUAACCCUAAAAAGAAAGAAGUUGAACAUGUAUAACUUUCGUUUCUAAACUUUCUCCCAUCACAUAGAAAGGAAAAAAAAAAAAACUAAACUAUUAUGAUGAUUGAGAAAACUUGACAUUGCCAUUUGUAGUAGUUGCUAGGUCGUCGGUAUUCUCAUUGUUGGUAACGUUGUUUGAUUGGGGGGUGCCACCAUUAAUGAUAGACGUGAUUGCUGCUGCUAAAGCGGCAGUAAAGUUGGGAUCAGCAGCAAUGGCAGCAGUGGCAGCGCUCACACUGUCGGCUAAUGAAUUAUGCUGCUGCCCUUGUUGCAUUGCUGGUGAUGGCAAUUGUGAUUGGUUACCCAAUUGAGAAGGGUCCAUAUCUUGGGACAUUUGUAACCCAGAAAACUUUGAUUGAUUAUACAAUGCUUGCCCAAAUAUCUGAGGCAGCAGUGAACCGGCUGCUGCUGCCGCUGCCCCAUCGGCAAAAUUGUGGGAUGGGUUUGGGAAUGGAACUUGAAAUUGGUUUGGUGACCUUUGGACAUUUGAGGGGUUGGGGGUCUGUGUUAGGUCUAAUGUGACAGUUGGGAAUGGGGCUGAAGCUGAUAUAGUGGCCAUGCUAGAGGAGCAUGGGAGGAGAGUUCUUGCUAGAAAAUUUGCAUUCAUCAGUCCGUCAGCGCUUGACAUUGAACCCGAUAGCAGCAAUCGCGCCGCCGAUGAUGUUGUUGAUGCCAUUGCCAUUGCAGCCGGCGGCAAUGGGUGGUUGUGGUUGCCCUCAUAUGUUGUGAUCAAAAUCGUUCUAUCUUCAGCACAUCUUUGUACCUAUUUCAUUAAUUAAGCUUAUUAAACAUACUUGUUUUCUAAUAAAAAACUAAAUUAAGUAACAUAUAAAUAAAUAAAUACUAAAUACACGAUUAAAAUGCAAAUUAAGCAUAUUAAACAUACUUGUUUUCUAACUGGGCAACCAGCAGCCAUUGUGCAACGAUAGUAAGCUCGAGGACAAGGAUUUCCCUUCGCCAUUUUCUGUCCAUAUUUUCUCCAUUGGCAUCCAUCGUUGAUCUAGAAAAAAUAUUUGAACAAAAGAAAAAAGCUAAGCAAACUUUAGCCAAAAAAUUCAACAACUCAAAUCAGUGAGUUACCUAAUCCACUUCAAAUCAAACAAAUUAUAUUAUAAUAUAUCUCAAUUACCAUGGGAGCUUCCGAUCUGGCUCUAACAGAAACACGAGCCUUCCUCAUCGUGGCCUCGGUUUGAUCGACAUUUUUAGACGAUGAACUAAACUUAGGAACCUUAUUAGGCCCAUAGUUUCGAUCGGGGCUAUCGUCUCUCUUAACGAAUUCCUUCUUGUCUUGACCAAACAGAACGUUACUCUCCUCAUUAUUAUUAGAAUUUCCAUUCACCGGUGAACCUCCGAGGUCGCGGCUCCUUCCUUCUGAAGAAGAAAGCGCAGGCUCAUCAGCAGUAUCGGCUGUAUUAACGCCCAGACCAAGAUCUAUAAACCGCCUCGGUGCCGCAAGCUGUCCUUUCUUUUCUUCAACUUGCCGCCCAUCACUGUUUUCAUCAGCUGCCCUAGCAUUAUGGUGUUGCAUAAAUGCCAUCAAUUGCAACUGUAACGCGUUGUAAUUGUUGGUAACCUCGUUUACCAUGUCCUUUAAACGUUGAUUCUCCGCGUUCACUCGCUCAAGCUCUGCCUGAACGACGGCGUACUGAAGAACAAAACCAAUAGUACAGUUUUCUUAAAUUAAUUAGUCAAAAUUCACAAACUCGAAAAUUUUGAAAAAUAAAAAAAGCUUAAUUAAAGAUUAAUAUUUGUUACCUCAUUUUUAGCUUUUUUAUCUUCCAUAUUUGUCGAAAUUCCAUCAUCGACCGUGGAAUGAUCACUGCUGGUAUUUGUAGUGAGAAGAUUCAACCCAGUCUGUAGCAUUCAAUUCAAAAAAUUUGUGAAUCAAAUAAAUAUAAAAAAAAAAAAUUAAACGGAGAUAAGUCAAUAGCCAUGAACAUGAUCAUGUAGGUAAUACUCACGUUGACGUUAAGCUCCAAUUUGGAGUCUUUAUAAUGGUGAUGAUCGCGGCUGUGGGUAGUCUUGUCGGUGAAAAAAUCCAUCUCAUCAAUGACCUUCCGUUUAUUAUGAUGAUGGUGAUCAUCAGACGACUGCUGGGGAGAAUCCUCAUCAUGAUUAAGGCAGACGGGGAACUGAAUAGUCGAUGGAGUGGUAGCAGGAGACCUCUUGGCAUCCAUUAAAUAAUGGAAUUUGUGGAAGUGGUGAUGAUCGUCGGAGAAAGAAUUGAGGACAGCGGGCUGAUGACAAAGAAAGAAGUUCUUGUUCUUGCCUGCAAUGGGAUCUGAAAUAUUAUGAUCAAUGGAGAGUCCACUUCCCUUGGCCAUAAAUGAAGAAGAGGUUUUGAGAGAGAGAGAUGUGGAGAGUGAAGUCUUGAGACGGUGCAAUGGACUCGGCAAAUAAAAAGGGGGUGGUGACUUUAGAAGAAGACCAAACAGUAGUAUUAGUCAUGAUCACUAAUUGCUAAUUACUAAUUAGUCUUUUCUUUUGUUGCUUUUUACUUUUAUUUUUUACUUUUUUUUAUUAGAUUUGUGUUCUAAGCAAUUGAAGGAAGUUUUUCCUUUCGCUUUUUUUUUUUUUAAAAAUAAAUUCUAGCAAAAAUUAAUGGUCGUCAGAGCUUAAAGUUAAGUCGAGCGAAAAAUUACACUACUAUUUUAAAAAAAAAAUGACACUCAAACCUUAUUAAUAACAAAAAUGUACUGAAAUGCUAGCCAACAUUAAAAUAUCGUAAUGUUUUUAUCUCUUUUCAAAGACAUAAUUCAUUAACAAAAUAGAGUAUCAAUGUCCAUUCUAAAAUGGUGGGGAUUUAUUGUUUAUUUUUUAAAUAUUGGGAUCUACAAACUUUACAACUUGGGUAGAUGUAUUUUUUUUAUUUUUCAUUCUUUUCAUUUUAUUAUUGUUUUCUAUUGACUAAAAAUAUUUUUUUUAAAUUACUACCAUUCAUAGAGAUAUAGAGAUAUUGCAUUACAAUUUGGGAUAGAAUCAACUCAUAUAUUUAUUGAGUAUUGUUAAAAAAUUUACCCUACUAAUAACAUUUAAAAAAAAAAUACACCAUCCUCACAAUCAUGACUAUUCGACUACAAGUCCCAUGGCAACUAAAACAAAAGUUAGUGCAAUGAAAAUUAUACUAUUUUUAAGCUUUUCUAUAGAAGAAAUAUGUUUUUAAAUUUUGAGGGAACAUUAUAAUGCAAUAGAAUAUCAAUUAAGCUUUGCAAAAUUCAAUUCAAUUCAAAGUGAUUUCAAGAUAAAAUUGAAUGCAAUCUAAUUUGAUUUUAAAGAGAUUAAAUCAAAUUUAUGUGGAGAUCAUCCCUAUUUAAAGUGUGACAUUUUGAUGCAUUAAUGACCAAAUUAAAUUUCACCGGUACAAUCUAAAACAAAAAAGGAAAGGAAAGGAAAAGAAAAGAGAAGAGAUAAGAGAGUCAAAAUAUUUUCCUUCAAUUGCAUGAUAAUAUGACAUUUGCCACUAAAAGGGUUGGGCGAUUUGCAUUAAAACCGACUCCCACAAGUAGCUGAGGUGCCAAUGCGACCACCCACGGGGAUGGGCCCACGUGGGCCCCAAUCGGUCAAUAGUGAAAUUCAUUUAAAUUAGAUUUUCGAUUUAAAAGAAAAGAAAUGGAAAAUGAAAAGAAAAGAGGCAGCGUGGAGAUUGACGCGUUCCAAAAAUUCAUCGCCCCGAUUGGCCCGGCGCCUCUGGAUCAGUGAAAAAGGGUAAUCUGAGUCAACGGUAUUGAUGGGACCUAGGGCCCACACAGUUUGUGAGAAUACUGACUCCGUGGGGGCCACUGAUCUCGAUAUAUAUUUGACUAGUGCCACGUAGGACUGGUUCCAUGCGUAUUUUACCGACAAUAACGGGUUGACUCCGUCGCUGCUUAAAGACCGAAUCACUUGGCCAUGUACUCGACUCACAUUGUUUAGUGGUCCCCACACCUAUCCAUAAUUUUAACCUCCCCCCAAAAUCUAGUUAUUUUAUUUUUAUUUUUAUUCUUUUACUGUAGAAUUAAUAGCUUUUUUUUUGUGUGUAUUAAAUCAUAGGUUUCUGAAGAUUAUAUUAGACCCCGACUAAUUCAGAUUCAAGCCGGGUAGGACCACUAGGGUGGUAAAACUCUCUCAAUAAGAAUUUAACACAACUGCAUUCUCAAACCUCGAAACCAAAAAUCUUGGUUAAGUUAGAACAGUCCCAUGUCAGCUAAUCUACGCACUUGUUAGUAACUAAUAGCUCUUUUUAAUUUCAUACACGCUAAUUUAUAUUUCUCAAAAUAAUUAAUUUAUUCAUUUGCUUAAUUGUCCGACCGAAAUUGUUUUCAAAUUAUAAAAAAUUGUUAGCCCACACUCCACAAAGGAAUAUUAAAAGUUGAGUUUAAAUUUUUUGGUUUACUAAUCUCAAUAAUUAGAUCUACAAAAUAGUUGUUAUUAAAAAUAGUUAUUCAAUGAGGUAAAAGUGCACCAACAAAAUUACAUGCAUGUGGGUCAAAUGUGGAUCAUCAAAAAGUAUAGCUCUAUAUUGAAUUUAUCAAAAUAAAUUUAAUUAGAGACAAAUAUUUGCUUUUACAAGAUUUAGUGGAUUCAUAAUAAACACGCAUAAAUAUUGCAUGCAUGCACCACUUGCAAAAAAAAGUAAUAAAUUUCUCACUAUAUUAAACGCAUAUACCUAACUUUUGUCACUUCCAUCAAAUUGGUUUGGCACGAUAUUUCUGCCUCCAUAUCUUCAAAAUUUGUUACAUAAACACUUUUCCCAUUUAAAACAUCACAUUUCAUUCAUUAUUUACAUUUAAAAGGCAUUUACUUAGCCGAGGGUAUUUAUUUUAUUUUAAAAAAAUUGUUUACCAAAUUUUUGUACUGAAAAUUGGAAUGAAUUAAAAUCAAAUAAUUAGCAGACAAAACUAGAUGAGUUUGAUCUCUAAUGAUAUGUUAGGUUGGCCGCAUAAUUUAAAUUGGUGAGUCAAAAAGAGCAAAUCAAGCCUCUUCCUUGCGCUCUCACCCAAACACACAGGCGUCUUUGUAUUGAAUUUGACUGCCCUUUUAUUCAACACAGGACGGUGGUCACGUGAAUUUGCAAAAGCAAAUUAAAGGCUUCUUUUGAAUACUACUGGUAGCUGGUCUUCGAAUUUUAUGAGCAUCCUUUUCGUUUCGUUAAUUUCGGAGUUCAACUAUGGUGCAACUGUGAUAUCAUAUGACAGUUGCUUUCAUCCAUUUAAUUCAAUUAUGGUGAUAAUUGUGUUUGUAUUCAAUAGUUGAGUGUAACUAUGGCAUGGUAUCACAGUUGCACCAUAAUUUUGUCCUUAAUUCCGAUUGAUCAAAGUUUCACACUAAUAAUCAAACAUUUUAGUUGGCAUUGUGGGUAUUUACUUUUUUCUUUCUUUUGAACCAUUUCAAGACAAAAGCCAUUAAAAUUCAUGUGACAAAACACGUAUCAAUCUCAACAAUAACUCUUAUUUUGAAUCCUAUAUCUCUUAUUUUCACAGCAAAAUGUGAAUCGUUUGGAUAAUUCUUUGAGUAAAAAUUUAAAAUAAGAGUUUAGAUAAGCAUCACCAAAAGUUUCUUUAAAUUUUAUUUUUCUAUAGUAAAUUUAAAAAAAUAAAAAAAAUAAGCUUUCUCUUUAAAUAUGAACAAGUUAAAAUUAUUUUAAUCAAACAUUUUUCUCUACUAAAAUUAAUUAUCCUCCAUUUUCUCCCAACAAAUAUAAUUAUCCUCCAUUUCAUUACUCCAAUUCUUUCUUUAUAAGUAAUUUUGUGUUGAUUUUAAAUGUCAUUAUAAUUAUUAUGUUUUAAAUAAGUUUAUCUAUUAAUAAUUCUUAAUAUAUUUUUCCAUUACGUUUGUCCAUUUUUUUAUUUAGUGCAUGCCAAUUAAAAAAAACUAGUAAUUAAUAAAUUAAACAUAUAGUGUUAAUCAUAAAAUUACUUGAAAAUAUACAACAAUUAGAAAAAAUUAUGCAGUGAGAUGUGUAUUAGAUUAAUGAUAUUUAAUAGAUUUCUUUUUAAGGAAAAAAAUAGUAAUUAUAGGCUUUAUAACUGUUUUUUUACUCCAAUAAAAAAAUAAAAUAUUAUUUAAAGAGGGAGAAAUUCACUUGAAAAUUUAAAUAGUGAAAAACAUAUUUUAUUUGGAGAAUCAUAAUCGAAGUAUCAUUUGGAGUGUUUUAACAAUUAUGUGGCUCUUAGAUAAGAUUUACUAUUUAUUUGAAGAGUCUUUUAUUUUAAAUAAGAUUUACUUUUUAUUUGAAGGGUCUUUUAUUUCAAAUAAAACUUACUUUUUAUUUGAAAAGUCUUUCAGUGAUUGUGUAGAGGUAUUAUCCACUAAAGUGUGAAUGUUGUCGGAUGAUUAGAAAAUUAACAAAAAUUGAUAAAAUCUGACCAUGUGAAGUUUUUUAAACAGCAUGAUACAAUACCAUUGGGAUAUUGUAAUCACAGCUCAAAAAUAAUAUAAAUUAAAAAAAAAAAACAGUAGUAACCUGAAUUCUAAAUAUCAAAAUUGAUCCUCCUCACACGAACACAAAAAUCAAGUAAUCACUUUUUAAGACCUCUUUUUUUUUUUUUCCUAUCGCUUUUAUCAAGACUAAAUUGUAGAGAAGGGAAAGAGCAACAAGUAACAAGUUCUUUAAACAAGUAGGGCCAUAAUCAAAAGUGGCUGCACUCCCGGGCACACAUAAUGAAGAUCUAAGACAAAAGAUAUGGACACUCAAAAGGUUAUUAAAAAGUUUCGAUCAAUGUAUGGGACAACUCAAAAAAAAAAAAAAAAAAGCAUAACUAAAACGUGAUUCAAUUAAUAUGGCUCUUUUUAGUCACUAAAAAUUUGAAAAACUCUUAGUUCUCGUUUGAGAUUAAAGUGUCGUUACUUAAAAAAAAAUUGUAAUUAUCAAAUAAAAAUUAAUAAUAUGUAGUAAAUAUAAAUUUUAAAUAAUAAUUUUGACAAAAUUAUUAAAGAUAUAAUAGAUUUUUUAUUAUACAAAUUAAAAAUCAUAUCAACAUAACUUAUAAGCUACAGCAGUUUGUGUUUACCAAAUAUUUUAGUACUGUAACUUUUAAGUUACAACUGUCCAACUUUAAUCACAAACGCACCCUUAAUGACCUAUAGUCCUCCCUUUUUAUCGCCAUGAUUGUAUAUUUUCUCAUUAUUAUUAUUAUUUCUUUUUGUUUCCAUGUUCGAGUUUUCUUUCUGUACUCAAUGUGAACCUGUUUCUUGGAGCCACUGAACAGUAGAAUAAUUGUCGUUAAAGCUCGUGGAAUUUAAACAAAUUGAAGAUUGGCGAGUCUAAUCACAAGAAGAGUAGAGAACAAAUGAAAAGAAAUUACUACGAGAGUGCGUACGCGAUGACAUAAUUAUAGUGUUUUUAGGAGAGGGGAGUUUAAUCAAAAGAGUUGGUCAAUACAUCAGAUGAGAAGUGAGAACGCAUCUUGUCCGUAUAAAUUGACCUUGUCACCAAAAAAAAAAAAAAAAAAAAAAAAACUUCAAUCACACUUAUGCAAAUUAUACAACUGCCCUUUACCAAUUGAGUGAUAUUAAUGCACGGUUGACAAAUUCGUUUGGCAAACUUGCACGUGCUCUACGCCGGCUGGGAGAAAUUCUACAAUAAUAUGGGUUAUAAUUAUAUGAAUUAAGACUAUGGAUAGUCAUAUGGGAGUAUUAAUGUGUUGUUACUCUAUAUAUGAUAAUAGAUUAUAAUAUAAUGCUUACAAAAAUAUACAAUUAGUCUUCAAUGCUGAUGCUCAUCUCAAAAAAUAAAUAGAUGCACAACGCUAGCCGUUGAUUUUUUUUUUUUUUUUUAUAAAAAAAAUACUAUAUAUUUGUCCUCGAUAAGUUUAGUUUAUUAGUUGCAUUUUGUAAAUAAAUAAAAACGUCAGCAGCAGUAAAGCAAAUUUAUAAGAAGGCGAGGUAUAAACGAAAGAACACGAUGCUUCAAUUUCAACACAAAUUAUGGAUCUAAUGACAACUCGCCAGGCCUAAUAAUAAUUAAGGAAUAUUUUAAAAGAUUUUUUAGUGCACUGAAACAAGAGAAAAGUACUCAGAAAGUAGUUGUCGACAGGGUAGUUCUCUACAAUUUUGAUAUUAUAAAAGUGGAUCGGUCGAGCUUAGUCUCAUGAAGUUGAAUAAAAAGAUUAAAAAAAAAAUUUGAACACGCAAAUUAAAUUAUCAAAAUAAAAUAAUUGCACUGAGAUAUGAUGAUGUUAUGCGUACACCAAUAGCCUUUGAAAAGAUUAAACAAACGGAGAAGAGAGGAAGUUUCAUUGAACCAUCAAGAUAAAUGAGUCGUGAAAUAAAGUGCGUACCCAUGAACCUAUCUUAGAACUCAAUACUGAAUUGAUUUGCUUGAAAUUCUACAAAAAAGAUGCUUUCCCACAGAUUUGAUAUCUGUAUUUGUUCCUUUUCAUCCUCAAAUUACGGCAUCGUUUUCACCCUAUUUUUUAUUCUAAUGGAGCAGAGAUAUUAGUUGUUAUUUUUUUUUCCCUUGCAAUAAUAAUGCAUUUAAUAUAAAAUUAAAUAAAUCACUUUUGUCAAAGUUCAAACGGGUUUCUCUCCCGAUUCAAAGACCCACUUUAAUGAUCGAUCAUUUAAAGUUUUAAAUAAAAUUGAUACGGCUACAGCUGCUAGAUAGAAAAAUUAAACAAAACAGAAGUAUCUGUUGCUAAAAAUCAACUUUUAGUGUAGAUUUGAUUCAAUCUCUACUUCGGUGAUUUUUAUAUGAAAAAGGAAAAAAAAGGGUAACCCAUCAUUCGUUGUCAACUUAGCCGCAGACUUGUCCCGUAAAAUUAUGGCCAUGCCACGACCAAACCAUUAGCCCUAGCUAUAUGUAGAUUGUUAACUGAUAGACAACUUUGAGGAGAUUCUGGUUCUUGGCUUCAUUUACAAAUCACAACCCAGAUAUGAUUUGUUUCUCAAAAAAAUAAUAGUUUAAUUUAUGAAUUAAAAGACACUAUUGUCUAUUUGUGACUACGUGAACACCCGAAGAAGGAAAAAAAAAAGAAAAGGUAAUUCUAUCAAGAAAUGUGUGUGCUUCACGGACCAUAUUGCAGCAACAGUACAUGAUUUCGUCUUUCGAAAACCUAACAAGUUAAUAGUAGGAAUAAUAAUAAAAAUGGUACGCAUGUAAACGUGUAUCUAGUUGCAAUUCAUACGUGAUACUAUUUUUGAUUUAACAUGGAGUGAUUGUUAAGUCAAUUACUAUUAUUGGUACGUGAUAUAAUAUUUUAUUAUGCAUAUAUCACACAGAAAUUAAUACAUUGAGUUCCACGAAUUGUCACUGAUUUCCAAGAAGAUUUGGAUCUUGUAAUCCGACACAUAAUUAUUAUGAAUGAGAAAGAAGAUAAUGCAAAAUUAUUAUUAUUUUUGUUUUAAAAGUAGAUCAUAAAUUUAUGUAAGGUUGAAACUUAGAUUUUGAAAAUAGUUCGGUAGUUUGAUCAGCCUGUCGUUUACACAAAAGUCUUUACCAACCAUAAAUUGAAGCUUCUUGCGACUGCUUAAUUUUCCUCUAGCAUAUCUUUUUUCUUAUAUUGAUUUGGUAUAUGCAUGUGUUUCAUUAUAAUAUAUAUAAAAUUUAUUUGAAGGCAGUCAUAAUGCACGUUCAUGCAUAUUAUGAUUGCCUUUUUUUUUUUUUUUUUCCUCUCUACAAAGUUAAUUACAAAUUUGAUAAUAAUAUUUAGUACUUAUGCUAUUUGCUAACUUAAAUAGAUAGUUCAAUGUUAAAGGGUGAACUGUUUGUUCAUGAAUGCUCUGGAGAGGACUUAGGUUCAAUGGUUAGCCAUAAUGAAGAAAUAAUAAACUGAUGAGGCUAUAAAAUAAAAAAUGAAAACUUUAGGGGAUUAAAAUAUAAAUACUAAAAAAUGUGCUUAUCCGUUCAGUAGUUUUUGUUUUCAAAUGUUAAGUUCAAAUACCGUACAUAUUUAUGAUUUAAGACAUAACUUUUAUUUGAUCGAUUAGCAACUAAACGAGUCUAUGCACGCAUUUAAGGAUGAUGUUACCUGACAACUAAACUGAUAAAAUAAUUAUAGAAUCAGAACUAGCUGAAGUGUGAAACCUAACCAAUUAGACUAGCAAAUUAUUAAAGCGAGUUCAUACUCAACAACCAAACCUAGCUAUCCUACAAAGAACAUGUGUGACUUUGUGCUUCAAAGGAGCGUAUGGAAUGCAUGAAACCAUGUGGUCCUCUUGUGAUUUGUAUGUAUGAGAAGUUGGACUUGGAUUGCAUUUGUAAAUUUCAUUAAAGGAGUCCAAGGGAUUAGUUAUAUAGUCUAAUUUUAAUUCUUAAGGAUUUGAAUAUAAUGUUAAGCCGAUCUAUUUUUAACACUUCAUAAUUUUCUACCAAAUGUAUAUGUAUAGUAACAUACGGUUAAAAUUGAAUCAGUUUUAUAUUUUUAUUCAAUAACUAUUAAUUGUAUCUUUCUACAAAGUAAGUAAAAAAGUUAACUCAGUACUGAAUUCAAAUCCAACUGUCAAACCAAAUGUCUUUGAUUUUAGUAAUUUCAAAGAGAUGGGCUAGACACUAUUAAUUAAUGGAUUUUGUACUUAUGAUGUGUUGCAUGAAACAUACAAUGACAGUAUGAGUAAUGAUGCAUUUACAUAGUUUGAAUAGAUAGUUUAUGUCUCAAGUGAUGUAACAUCUAACAUAUCGUUCAUUGAUAAAUGAAGUAAUAUUUACACAUUAAUGAUAGAAAAUAAAAUUAACUAACAUGUAGCGCAUGUGAAAAAUUUUUUUGCGACCUUUCACUUAGAACACAAAUUUACAAUCCUAGCGUUAUUGAUUUUUUUAUUUCCUAUUACAAGUUACAUUUCUCAAAUUUUUAAAUUUUUUUUUUAAAACUAAGAUAUAGCAUAAUUUGAGAAAUGAUUAUGGAGGAUUUUAUUUAAAUAUCGAAGAUCCUAUCUUUUCACCUUGUGUUUGAGGUUGUAAGUAAACUGGAUGUUUAUUGAGUACAUUUAUAGAAGCAAAAGAAUCAAUCUGUGAGGUCUCCUAAUUCAACUGAUUAUAUACACUAAAUUAAUUAUCUCAUAGCAGCAACAGUCUUGAACAAAUCACACUGUCAAACUCAGCCCAACGCUAAAGACAUUAUCACAGUGAUAGAUAUGUCUCAGUCCUCAUUCUACCUGCUCGUUAAUUGUUAAUUAGAAUUUUCAAAGUUAAAACAGUCCAACUAUUUCUCGAAAUUUGUGCAAAGUGCAACAAUUUUCAAACCACAAAUUAGAAAGCGCUUCCAGUUUUUUUGUUGGGUAACCGGAUCAGAAGCAAGCAAGCGUUAACGUCAAUAUGUGUGAACUUGGUUCAUGAGGCAUCCAAAUAUGUAUCUAGGGCUAUUCAUUAUUCUUAAUUCUCGAUCGUUACACGUGGAAAAUUGAAUUUCAUCGACUGUUUUUACGUGUACCAAACCUAGCUAGAAAUUUCAACGAAUUGAAAAUUUAUUGUAUUACUGAUAGACAUCUUUAAUUUUUUUUUAAAGUGAUGCGUCGUUAAUUAAGUAAUCAUAAUUCUUUGUAAGAUUUAAAUGAAUUAAUUACAUUAUCUCACUGACUAAUUAAUAAAUACCUCAUCAUUUAAAUUACUUUCUUAAAAUAAAAAAAUUUAAAAUACGUGGCACCACUCAGUUUUUUAUGGCAGUACUGAAUUUAUUAUUGCGUCUAGUACAACUAAGAGAGUCGGCUCCUCCCACGAGCAUUUCCAAAAAUGCAGCUAAGGGCCCAUCUAAGACCGGUUUCUGCAAUUUAGGUCCUUUCCUCACAUCGUCAAAGAAAGACAACAUCGUUAAAAGUGGAGCUGUCUUUUGAUGACCAAAUGAGUUAAAACGAGAAAAGCUUCAAGCACGCUAGAAUCUGCUUCACGCAUUGACAAUAUUGAAAUAAUCAAAUAGAAGGAGGGCCACACCGACUAAUGAAAUAAUGACUCUCAGUUUCAAAUGUUAAUUCAUUCCUACUUAGUCAUCCAAGUAAUUUGUUCAGCAGAAGUCAUCAAAGCAUGCAGAAUAGUCUCAAUCUCCAUCAUUUUCCAAAUUUCUAGAUAAAGUCAGCUAGUUGAGACUCGAUACUUGAUUGCAAAUCAUAGGACCACAAGCUAUGAAUCUUUUGGUCCAGAGAAGAAACCUUCUCUGCCAAAGUUGUUUUAAUCCAACCGUGUAGGUCCCCAUUAACACAAGUUGUGAAGUUCACCUUUGUGAUAAUCAAUAAGCCUUCAGCAAACAUACAAUAUAGGCAAACUACAAACAGACAUAUCCCAGUAUCGAACCCCUUUGGAAACAAAAGGAUACUUGCAGCUGUGUUAUAUGUAGAGUAGAGGCAUACACACGGUUAUUUAUUUAAUGAUGGAAGCGAGGUAAACACCAUAGAUUCAUAAUACUAGUGAAUUACUUAAGCAGAUAAGUAGCGGGUCAUCCAUGAUUGGAAGCGAGACCACGCCAGCUCAACUGCGGCUGGAUCGUGAUCAUCCAUUCCCAUUUCUUUCCUCCUCUUCACUCCAUCCGGAGAAAUGUUCAUGAAAGCAUGUGCACUGCCAGGAUAAAUAUGUACCUCAUAUGGAACACCAGAUGCUUUCAGCUUUUCCUCCAAUGCUUUGGCAGUCUGAAACUCAGAAAAGAGCCAAAAAUUAUAUAUAUAUUUUUUUAAGAAUUCUUUCUUGGUGGCAACAGCCCACUCAAGUCAUUCCGCAGUUUCACUACUGUAGCAGCAAUUUGAAAAAAUAAACACAUAUUAUCUGACAUUAUAUCUGUAGAAUGAUUAAAAAAUUAAAAGAAACAGUUUCAUGAAAUAACAAAAUAAAUUAUUUAAACAUAACAACUUCAAACUUCAAUUUUUUCUUUUUUUUUGGGUCUUAAAAUAUUUGCUGAUUCUCUCAAAUUUCCCAUGAUCUCAUUACUUCACAUCUAUUCUUGGAGAUGAUGAUAAACUAUUGUAAGGUGUCUGCAUGCUUUAAACAUAAAGGAAGGUUAUCAAAUAGGAAAAGAGAUACUUAUAAACGACAAUGCAGAUAACUUUUUCAUUUAAAGAACAAAACAAAUGCAUUUUUAUAACUUAAAACCUGUUGAAUAAAGCCCAUUAUUGGCAAAUGGACAAAGAGAAAUAUGGGCUGUCAUACAAGCUAAAUGACAGAUAAAAAUGCCAAACAAAACAAAAAAAUUGGCAUUGAUUUAAACAUAUCAGUAAUGAACAGCAUCUUAGGAUGAUGCAGGCAGGUCAAAUGUUAAGUCCCAACAGGAAAAACACACACAACGGUAAUUAAUAUAACUUAAAAGAUUUGAAAGAAAUAGCUGUAAAAAAAAAAAUUGCCGUACUUUCACAUCUGAAAAGCCAACAAAAUUGUCAAGCUCCCCAAAAUGAGCUUGAACAGGUGCCUUAGCCUGGGUAGGAUCGGCGAGCUCAGGUGGGGGAACCCCAUAAAAUGAAACAACAGCAUCAACCUCAGGAACUAAGACAGAACUUGCAAUAGCGAGAGCACCUCCCAUGCAAUAUCCAGUCACGCCAACCUAUUGAAAUUCCAUAAGUUAUUUAUUGAAGCCUGCAUGUAUGUAGUUUUCAGCUAUAAAGCAAGAAAUCAGUUAAUAUGUAGGAUAGGAUAAAGUUUAGCUCUAAGUUUAACAAGAAGUCGUUUCAAUUACCGUUGAAAAUAUCCAGCCAUUCAUGUAUAUAAAUUUUAAGAUGCCACUCAUGAGAUAAGGGAGGCCGAGCUGCACAGGAUGUGGACUCUGUUUUUGCUGAUUUGGGAAACGGGGGUUCUAAUUGGCAGGGGUGGCUAGGUGAGCCAAAACAAUUUGGGCUACCAACACAAUUAAUAGACAACCCAAACAAAUUGUAAACCCAACAAAGCCCAAGCUAUGUAAUUUUUUGUUCGUGUUGCUGUGGGUCAGUAUUUUGGUGCGGGUUUUGGAUUGUCGGUAUUUUUGCACACCCCUACAGAUAGAGAUGCGUCUUUUCUAUAAUGAGUAGUCCUAAAGUGUAUCUCACCACUCUUUAGUAUUUAUUUAUUAUGGAGGUUUUCUGAUAAUGAUGGCAGGUAUAUAUCAUUUUAACCUUUUGUGGUCAAGUGAAGCACAAAUUACUGAAAAAUAUGGGCCAAAAUAAAAUGCAUCAAAUUGAAUUUGACCAUCUGAUUGACUGACACUUACUGACAAAACAUAAGCAACAUGGUUCAGAAGAACUGGAUGUCAGCACAACUGACAGAUCUAAAUAUAAGACCAUGAAUAUAAAACUGCAAUUACAGUUAUGCAUAUGAUUGUGUGAUCAAGUCCUCAUAAUUUGGUAUGUUAAGGGGGAAUAUUUUGAAUCAAACCCAACUUUCAAGGAAGGAGGCGUAUGCCUUACAUAUGCUUUGCAUUCUGGAGCACAACAUGAGACCUGAUGGUGAUGUGAUAUAAUCCUAAUAUUUUACGAAUUAUGAUACAUAAUACUGAUGUCAAGCGCGACAAAACUAUAUAUUCAAACCAUAAAGUGGUACAAAAAACUAGAGCAAUAAUCUAAAGGAAUUUUAAUGAACAUUAUCGACUUAGGCAAGCAGACUGUGCAAACCUUCUUGGAACCAUUUGCCUUAAGCCAAUUAACUGAAGCGUGGAUAUCCUUGACAGCACCUGGCCAAUCAAGACCACUCAUCAAGUGCUGUGCUUCAGCAGUAUCCAAACCAACCUUUCCCCGAUAUAAACUGAAACACGAGGCACAACACUUUUAGCACAUACAAGCAGCAACUGUUAGAUAACCAUAAUAACAAUACAAUGAUAAGAAAAUGAAAUGUAUACUGGUAAUGAUCAUAGAGUCUUACUCUGGUAUAAGUGCCUUGAAUCCAGGGUUUAGUUGGGAGAUUUUGACAGCAUGGUUCUUGAUCUCAAAAUCAACACCCCACCACUCCUGAACUACAACAAUCCCAGGGGCGUCUUCUUUGCCAACCACAUAUGCAUCAAAAGUCUAAUCCAUAAUUACAAGAACAGAAAUCAUAAGCCCACGUCAACCAACGUCUAUUUUUUCCAAUGAAACUAAUAAAACAACACAAUAACGAUUAUGAUUUUUUAUGCCUUAAGCUGAUUAUGGGUAUGUUUGGGUAAAAUAAGAUAUGUAAGUUGGUGCUGGGUGGUAAACAUUAACUAUCAAAUAAAAUAGUGUUCAUCAACACUUUUUUAACUGUUAUUACGAACAUCAGUUACAAUUUACAAACAUAUAUUAUAUCUGAAAUAGUCAAACACAAAAAUGAUUUCUUUUAAUCAAAUUCUUACUGCUACGAGUCUACCCAACAUGUCUCUUCAUAGGAUACAGACAAUUAUGACAAAAUCGUAAUGACCCAUCAAGUAAAAACACCCAAAAAGAAAAAAAAAAUUCAGGAAAGAAAAUAAAAAAGAUCGUGAAAUGAAGCUUACAGUAUCAUCUCUCUGAAUCUGGAUUUUCUUGAAGGGCGAAGCUGCAGAGUCUGCCAUUGAUCUGACUGCAAAGCGAUAACCGGCGGGAAAGUGAGUCCUUGCGAGAGAGGGCUUAAGAAGCGGAGUUGAUCUGCUCAAGAUUCUCGAAGCAGCUGCUAGCAUUAUCUACUCAGUGACUCAGAUCCCUUCUGCCCGUAUGUAACAAUAUAUGUCAGCGUUGACAAACGGUGACGUGUUAUCAAUAAGACAAAGCGGUAACAAUGAACCGUCAACAGGCCAGAACUCAAUUGGGCUCAAACAGGCCGAAAUAGAAGCAGGUUUCUGGACUCGCUUGCUUUAACUUAGGAGUUUAACUAUUGGCACACCUCUAACAUUCUUUUUAAACCCCUUUUCUCUACAUAUUCUUCUUAAUUCUUAAAAUAACCCUCAUUUGUUGUACUUUCUUAAUAAAUCCCUGCAUCGAUACUUUAAAAAAAAAAUUGUUAGGCGCUCUCUCUCACCCUUCUUGCAUUUCAAACUACUUUCAAUCUCUUCUUGAUUAUAGCAUUCAUGAAUUUAUUAUUUUUAUCUAUAUUUGUCUUUGUUUUUCCUAGUAGGUAAUAACUAUACAUAAAGACAUAUGUGCAAAUCUUUAAAAAAAAAAAAAUUGGCCUAAGUAAACAAACUUCACAAAAUUAUAUUUCCUACAAAAACUUUGUUUAUAUUUAGAUCAAAUUCUUAUUCUACGACAAUUUAUUAUUUUUUCAAAUUUUAUAGAUUUAAUGAGUUUAUAAUGGAGAAAAAAUAAGAAAACAUAGGUAGGUUUAAUUAGAUAAGUUUUAUUUUUAAUAUAAUUUAAAUAUAAAGGAUAAAUUUGUAAAUAAAGAGCAAAAAGAGUUUCAUAGGAGAUAUAAAGGGGUGCCAAUAGCGUCACUCUUAACUUGGCUCUAUCUCGUCUUUCCUUUCCGUAAUCAAUUGAGUCGUUAAGUGUUAAGACAGCCAGUUUCGAUUUCGACAUUGCAGCUUGCAGGCUCCAGACAAGAAGUGACUUGUUUCCGGUAUAUGCCUCCACAUUCCUCCGAAUUUCUUCUCCAACUUCUCCAACGCUUUAUCAAAAACUCAAGCCAAAUCAAACAAAUCCAUGCCUUCGUAACCACACACACCCCACAAGACUCCGAAAAUUACAAACUCACCCUUCUUUACAACACUCUAAUCAGAGCCUACCUCAACAUUAACCAGCCUCACAAAAGUCUCCUUGUUUUCACUCGCAUGCUUUCCUGCCAAGCCCAUCCAAACGCCCUCACAUUCCCUUCUUUAAUCAAAGCCGCCUCUUUUUCACCCUCUUUAUCUUCCCUCACUCUCCACUCCCAAGCGAUUAAAUGCGGCGUUUUAGCUGACUCCUUUGUGGGAACAUCAUUGGUGAAGCUCUACUCACAAAUGGAUUAUUUGUGCAAUGCCCGUUUAGUGUUCGACGAAAUUCCCAGUCCUUGCAUUGUUGCGUGUAAUGCGAUGAUUGAUGGUUAUGUGAAAAAUGGCGAUAUGGACUCCGCUAUUUUGCUGUUUGAGAACAUGUUAAAGAGGGAUGUCGUUUCUUGGACUAGUAUUAUUAAUGGGUUUGUAAGAAAUGGUUGUUUUGGGGAGGCAAUUUGCCUUUUUAAGAAUAUGAUGGGAAAUGUAAAUUUAGUGAGGCCAACUGAGGCUACGUAUGUUAGUGUGCUCUCUUCAUGCGCUGGUUUAGUCAAUGAAGGGGGUCUUUAUUUAGGGAAGCAAGUUCAUGGUUAUAUUUUGAGAAAUGAGAUUGUUUUGAGUGUUUUCAUGGGGACAGCAUUGAUUGAUUUGUAUGGAAAGGUGGGUUCUUUAGAAAGAGCAAUAAGGGUUUUUAAAUCAAUGGUGAUUAAAGAUGUUUGCACCUGGAAUGCAAUGAUUUCUUCACUUGCAAGUAACAGUAGAGAAAAAGAGGCUUUAGUUAUGUUUGAUGAGAUGAAGGAGAAAGGGUUGCGUGCUAAUGAGAUUACGUUUGUUGCUGUUCUUACAGCUUGUGCCCGUGCGCAACUUGUGGAAUUAGGUUUGGAAUUGUUUCAUUCAAUGUUGGGUAAAUUUGAGGUUGUACCAAUAAUGGAGCAUUAUGGUUGUGUGGUUGAUCUUUUAGGAAGAGCGGGGUUAUUGAGUGAAGCCAAGGAGUUUAUGAGGAGUAUGCCCUUUGAACCUGAUGCUUCGGUAUUAGGGGCUCUUCUAGGUGCUUGUAAGAUUCAUGGAGCUGUGGAUCUGUGCCAUGAAGUGGGGAGAAGACUACUUGAAUUGCAGCCAAAGCAUUGUGGGCGAUAUGUGGUAUUAUCAAACAUCCAUGCUGGAUUGGAGAGAUGGAAUCAUGCUACUGAUCUAAGGAAAGCAAUGGUAGAGGCUGGAAUUCGCAAAAUUCCAGCGUAUAGUUUGAUUGAGGCAAGUUGAAGCUUGGUGCUAAAGCGGAAUAUUGGCAGAGAAUGAGAUUGUGUCUAACUUUUGCCUGAGAAAAACCAUCGUUAGAGAAUGAGAUUGAGGAUCACAGAUGACAAAGUUCCAAUGUUGACCCUGAUUACGUAUUAUUGUUAUAUUUAAAAGGAAUAUUAAAUUUUAAUUCAUUCUUUCUUUCUCUCAUUCUCUCAUUCCCUUACUUUUAUUCUUUAAUUCUCUCAUCCUUACAUAUAUAAUUCAUAUUUUCUAAUUUAAUCUCAACUUCUUUUCUCUUUUAUUUUUAACAUGAUGUAAUUUUUUUUUUCACUUAUCUUAUUUAUUCUAACUUAUAUUAGUAUUAAAUUUAUAUUUAUUAUGUUAACUAAUUAUUGUGUAUUUAUUUUUAGGGAAUAUUGAAAAUCAAUUACAUGAAGAUGAAGAAAAUCAAGAAAUUUAUAUUCAUUUGUAACAAUUUUCUUUCAAAAAAGGGAUAUUAAAUUUUGUAAUUAUUUUUGUAUUGUUCAUCAGUAUUAAUAAUUCUUUUUAAAUUAAUUAAUUAUGUUUUUAUCAUAACGGUUUUAAUUGUCAUUGUAAUUUAAUAUUAAAAAUGAUAAUAUUUUAACAAUAGAAAUAAUAAAUAAAUGAAAGCUAAAAAUACUUUCAACGACAAAAUUUAAAAAUUCGACGCCAAAGACCUAACGUGACGCUGGUGACAAGAAUUUUUUCGUCGCUAAAGUCCUUUUUUGUUGUAGUGAUUGAUCAUGUAAGCAAGAAUAUAUAUAAAGAUUCAUCUUUCUUUCUUUUUUGAUAAGAAGGUAUACCUCCUCUCAUUCAUUCAACUCUAUAAAUAAAUACAAUUAUUGGGUUGGAACGAGCUACUUCAUUACAAGUUAGUUCUUGAAGCAUUGUGAAUUUUGAUCUGUGCCAACCUUUUCAAGCUUAAUUGAAAAUAAGAUAUAAUACAAAAAUUAUUAGCUACAUAUCAGAUUUAGUUCUUUGCCAUAUGCAGAAAAAAACUAAAAUAUCUCUGCUUUCUGUGAGUCUAAUGUCCUUUUCAUAAGGUGUAAGCCUCCAUGGUUUUGAGAAUUAAAACAUGCGAUUGCAUUUGUUAUCAUUACUACAUAUUAUAGAUGGGAGAAUUAACGAGGUUCGAGGAUUAAGGUGAACUAAUUAGCCUCUAGCUUUCUAGCUUUUCUACUUCAUCAUUUUAGUUGUAUGAUUAUAUUUUGGGAUUAUUGGGUAAUGCUAAUUAUGUUUCCUUGAUUUGUUGUUCGUGAUUCCUUUCAUUUUGAAAAAAAAAAUUACACUCUUAGCUAAUACUUCAAAGUUAAAAACCAUACAAGAAAUUAUUGACUUGCAUCAACAUUCCUUUCUUACUACAUUGCUAUUUAAUUAUCUGAUAAUUUUUGCUAUAUUGCCUGCUGUUUACUACCAUUAUUCACUGAUGUUUUAUCUUCUGCUUCUUGCUAUUUUCUAUUACUAUUCUAUCUACUGUUUUUUGCCACAGUUUGUGUUGCUAUUUUUCAGUAGUUUCUUUACACACUUGAUUUUCUUUUUCUAGAUUAAUCUUGAGUGACCAUAAACCAUUGAUAUUGAAUGGAAUGCUGGAAUUAUUUAAUAGAGCAAGAGGUGAUAAUAGUAGUGAAUGGGGAGUGAGGAUAAGUGAUGAUAGUGGUAUAGGCGGAGUAAUGGGAGGGGAGCUUAACAAAGUAAGUAAAUCUAGGUUGAGAGGAAUAUUGAGAAAGUAAUAAAACAACAUAAAAAUAUUAAAACAUAUAGAAUUUAAAAAAUUAUCAUAUUGUUAGCUUUGAUAUUUGAAGCCAAGCAACAAGUUGUGCUUGCUUUUGAUGUCAGUUAAGACUUAGGGAAAAUGAAUAUGGAAGAUAUGUAUAAGGGAGGGCCUAAGUUACGUGCACGUAACUUAUGUCCCCCUCUCAGCUACAGUACUCGGCCCCACCAUGGGUACUGUAGCUGGGAGGGGGAUGCAAGUUACGUGCACGUAACUUAGCGCCACCCUAUGUAUAAAGAUGCAAUAGGUGUAAAAACUUUUUCUAAUAGUAAUUUGGGUUGUUAUAUUGAAAAAAAUUAAAAACAAAUAUAAUGUGCAAAUGUGGUUAGUUAGUGUCCCACUUUAUUGGAUAAGAGAAAUAGAACAUAUGUAAUGGAUUUUAGGGAUGUAAAAGGCUUUUUAAAAUUGUUGAAGAAAGUACCGUCCAUGAAGAAUAACCAUUUUGGAUUCAUAAAUGAGCAUGGAUCAUCCAAUAGAGGUAGAGAACUUGACCAUAGGGAUCCUGCCAUUCCUAAUGAUAGCACAGUAGACUUUAAGAAAACAUAUGGCAAGCAUAUAAAGGCUUCAAUUACAAUAUAGAUUACUUGCAAUGCAUCACUGGUAAAUCAUAUUUAUUAAAUCAUAUUUAUAUUUUAUCUAUGUAUUUAAUGAUAAUUAUCAGUACUUAUUUAUAUUCCCUUAAUGAUAGGUUUUGCAGAAAUGAAAGUAACGAGAAUCGGCAACUAUGUAAGCACAGUUUAAUUGUAUUGUUUACUCUUCAAUUUUUUUUUAUAUCAACAUGUAGUUUGUGUUAGGGUUAUAGGGCCCCAGCAUACUUCUGUGUGCUUGUAGGUGUAACAUCAUUUUGUGUAAUUUCGCUAAGUGGCAAUAAGGUUGCAUAUGGCGUAAUUGCCUGGCUGUUGGCAUAAUUAUAUAGCCCUUCAUGUACACCCGCCGCAGUAUAAGGAAAUAAAGUUACGCCUUAGCUAUUAACUUAAGCUUUUAGCUUAGUGGUAAGCGCUUGAUCCUAAUGAUCGGUAUCAAAGGUUUAACAUCCUUCUGUGUUACAAUUUGCAGCCCGUUAUGUCCACCCUAAUGUCCACCCUCAUGUUAACCCCACUGCUGUUCCCUCAUAUCCACCCGCCGCAGUCCGUCAUGCCCACCCACCGUAGGUAAUGUGUAGGGUUUAGGAGUUUGAGGGUUUAGGGAUUUUUAGGGUUUAUCUGUCAUCCUCUUAAACCAUUUUUUCGACGAUUACAUGGUAAGUGCUUAAAUUAUUAGUUUUUUAAAUCCAUAUACUAUAAUGGUUAUAAUCUAAUUACUAUAUAUAUCAGCAUUUCAGAACAAACCGAAGGAACUGCCAUAUGCAAUAAUUUCAAGCGGGUGCCAUGGUAGAGGGGGACAUGAGAGAGGUCUUAAGGAUUUAACCUUAACCGGAUUGGUUGAAUACUAGAAUCGUCACUUCAUCUACUACUUCUGUAGUUGCAAUGGUUAUGUCUAUUUAUUGGAUUUUUUUUUUGGUAAGGGGGUUGUGAUGGGGUCUGGGAGGGGAAAAUAGAGCUACCAGAAGUUGAUUUUGUUACUCAGGCCGUGGAUCAGCGGCUUAGAGUCACACUAGAUAGACCGCUUAUACUGAACAGUAAGAGUCAAAGCAUAUUGCUUUAAUCUCAUAACAUUGGAUACAUACCUUGAAGUUUGAUCAACGUUCAACUUAUCUCUUAGGCCAAUGUAACAAAUGAACGAAGUGUAAUUUCAUUUUUUUCUUUCCUUGAAACUUGUAUAAAUGAUUGACAGUGAUUAUUGGCUAAAACAAUAGCAAGGUUCCUAGUUGAACUGAGUUUAUAUUAUAUGCCUAAGAAUUUACUUCAGUAAAAAAGACUUGGGAGUUCCAGAUACAGUAAAGAUUCAAAAUGAUAAAAGGGACUAUUAAGUAGUGGUAAGAAAAUGAUAUUUCCUUUGACAAGCUGAAAUAGUGAUUCUGUAAAUAAUCUAAAGAGUAAGGUGAAAACUGAACAUCUGUGAAAAUUUAUAACACCAGAAGCUUGUAAAGAAAAAACAUAAUGUUGUUGAUAAUAAUUAGGAGCUAAUUUUUAAUUAGUAGCAACAAUCUGGGAUUUUGCAAAUUGAAUUUUUAUCUUCACACGUAUUGGUAGCUCAUGGAGAACUUAUCAUGAUUAGUUGGCUUAGAAUGCCUCAAAUCGGGCAGAUCAAGUACUAGAAAAGACAUUCAGAUGUCCAAGUUAGUGUUUGCUUAAGGUUGAGAAAAGAAGAAGAAGAAAAUGAGAUUUUCUUAUAAGAGUGAAUAAUAUUCUCAAAGGUUAAAGACCUUUUUUUUUUCUUACAAAUGAGUCCCUUCUUUUAGAGAUGAGCCUCUAUUUAUAAAAAUAGGUGGUAUAGAGUUAGGAUUAAGAACAAAACUUUAAUUUUGAGGACACGUGUAAUCAUUUCAGAUCAAUACAUGUAUAUAUAUAGGGGUGGGCAUAAACCCACAACUCAUGGGUUAACAUGGGUCUACCCAAACCCAAACCAAAUAAAAUGGUCUAGGUUGAUGGUUUACCUAUGAGGCAUAGAUAAAUUCUCAAAACUCAAGGUGACAUGUUAGUGGAAAAUAAAUUAAACAAAAUAAAAAAAAUCAAUUCCAAUGUAUCUAAUAAAAAAGAAAUCACAGUUUGGGAACAAGAAAACCUAACUCAAAUCCAAAACCAUGAUGCAAAAAUUCCCAAAUAUUAUUUGUUCGUUCGUUGUCCUCAAUUGAAAUUGCAGAAUCUUGUAGCCCCCUAUUUGAUUAAAUCCUUUCCAUUGAUUUAAGGAGAUUUUGUUGCAAAAACUUCAAAAUUUUCUCUUUUUUUUUGUUGCUGUUGUGGUGGCCAUGUAAUACGUCAACUUUAGAAUAGACUAAUGGUUCAAUUUUUGAGAUGCUCUUGUAUUUGUUUUCAAUGGGUAGAACUUAAUUUUUAAGAAUAAAUUUGUUUAUUUGAUAGUUUAAGUGAUUUGCUUAAUGGGUAUGCUUGGACUUAGUGAAUUUAAUUACUUGGAGUUGUUUGCAUGGUGAUUUAAUUGGAAGAUUUGUUCCUUUUAGAUUUCAGUUUUUGUGAUUUGUGAAUAUGGGAUAUUGGGAUUUGUUUUUUUAUUUAUUUUAUUUCUUUCGUAUUUUUUUAUUAUGCUAUUCUUUGCUAAAGUUAUUUUUAUAACUUUUAAGGUUUGGUUCCUAAAUACCCUUUUUCCUUUCAGAAUUCAAGGUGUAUUAAUUAUAUGAAAAUGCUAAUGAUGAUUGUGUCCAAAUUUGUUUCAUGUGUAGUGGAGUCAGGACGGACUUACUUGGUACUCUGGCAUAAGCUACCAUGCUUUGAUAUUAUUGGAUUUAAUUAACUGAAGCUUAUAAGAUAUAAUAUUGUGUGAUUAAUUGUUCUUGUAUUAGUGAAAUUAACUUUUUGCUUUGAAUUGGUAAAAUUUUUUUUAUUGAAUUGACUCAAAGUUACAUAAUUUUUUUUCAAUGAAUUUUAGAUGGAUGAGAACUCAAGUUGUCAUGAUACUAAUUCCUUGGACACUUUCCCAACUACUCAAAGCAAGAGAAAAAGCCAUCAAAGAGAUAUGAAAUAUGAGACCAUUUCACCAAAUACAUUCUAGGUAAUAUAUGCAAGUGUAAUUAUUAUGGUAAUGAUCAUACUGGUAAGAAUAAACAUGAGACUAAAAUUGGGACUAGUACAUUACGGAGUCAUUUGUUGCAUUGUCUUGAUUAUUUGAGCACAUUUGAGGAUGAAAAUCAAACAACUUCAUAUAUGAAUCUAAGUCUCAUGUCUUUGAUAGAGAAGCAUGUAGAAAAGCCCUUACAAGGUUAAUUAUUAUUGAUGAAUUACCCUUUAGUUUUGUGGAGAAAGAGGGCUUUCAACAAUAUAGUAAGCAAUUGGAACCAAACUUUGAUCUACCAUCUAGAAAAACCCUUACUAGAGAUGUGUACAAAUUUUUUUCGGGAUGAAAAGCAAAAGUUGAGAAACUUUUUUGUUUCAAUAAGCAAAGGGUUUGUAUAACCAUAUAUGCAUGGACUUAUAUACAAAAUUAUUACUAUAUGAUUAUUACAGCCCACUUUAAUUGAUAGUGAAUGAAGAUUGCAAAAGAGAAUUUUAAAUUUUUGCACAGUACCUAACCAUAAAAGGGAGACAAUUAGAAAGAUAAUUGAGUCUUGUUUACUUGAGUGGGGUAUAAAAAGAGUAUUUACCAUUAUUGUUAAUAAUUCUAGUUCAAAUGAGUUGGCUAUCAAUUAUGUCAAAAAGAAAUUGAAGAAUUGGAGUGAGAAUGACCUUGUGCUAGAUGGUAACUUUUUACAUAUGAGAUGUUGUGCGCAUAUUUUGAAUUUAAUUGUAAAUAAAGGGUUGAAAAACUUGCACGUGUCAGCUUUUAGAAUUUGUAAUGAUGUUUAAUAUGUAAAGUCCUCCCCUGCAAGGCUAAAAAAAAAAUUAAAAUAUGUGUGGAGCAUGAAAGAAUUGAAGAUAGUGGCCUAGUGGUUCAAGAUGUGUCCACUAGGUGGAAUUCCACUUACUUAAUGUUGGAGAGUGCUUUAAAAUUUCAAAAGGCUUUUGAGAGAAUGAAGAGUGAUGAUCGACAUUAUGUUUCAUAUUUCAAGGAAGAUGGAGGACCUCUUAAUAAUGAUGAUUGGGAAAAUGAUAAUGUUUUUGUGUUGUUUUUAUAUUCAUUUUAUGAUAUAACUUUGAAAUUUAGUGGUUCAAUGUACAUGACUUCAAACUUAUAUUUUUAUGAAAUGUGCUCAAUUCAUUCCAACUUGACAUCACUAAUUGAAAGUGAUGAUGAUCCUAUCUUAUCUAAAAUGGCAACAAGUAUGACAAAUAAAUAUGACAAAUAUUGGGGGUCAAUUGAUAGCUUGAAUAAUUUAUUGUUCAUUUAAGUUAUUCUUGAUCCACGUUAUAAGUUAAAAUAUGUGAAUUUUGGUUUGAAGACAUUUUUGUUAUUAAUGAGGUUGAGAAGAAGUCUGAAGAGGUGAAAAAUCUUUUAGUACGUCUUUAUAAUUACUAAAAAGAUCUUGACACUAAUAUUGGUAGUUGUAGAUCAUCUAGUGGUGUUGUAAGUCGUCAAUUGUUGAUAGUAGGAAAUUUCAUAAAAAUGUGGGGUUUUAUGAACUUUCAAGUGUUGCAAAGUUCAAACAAAGAGUAGGAAUAGAUGAUUGUGUUGAGAUGAAAAAUGAGUGGAGAGGUACUUGUUGGAAUCACGUGAACAUGUUGAUGAUGACGACUUUGAGAUUUUGGUAGGAUAAAACUGAAUUCAAUAAAAUAUCGAGUUUUUCCACACAUUGCAAAUGAUGUGUUUGCAAUUGCAAUAUCUACGGUAGCUUCAGAAUCUGCAUUUAGUAUUGGAUGACGCAUCAUUGAUUCAUUUCAUAGUUUUUUAAGUCCAAAGAUAGUUGAAGCUUUGAUAUACUCACAAAAUUGGUUACGUAACACUUUUGUCCCAGUACAAUGAUGAACCAACAAUAGAAAAGCUUGAGUUUUAUGAAGCCAUGACGUUAGGUAACUAUUUAUCAUAACAAGUAAAAAUAUUUAUGUAUUUGUUUAUCACUAUUCUUUUUUUAUUAAUUUAUUUUUUAAAUGUAUAAUUUGGAUCAAGUGUAACAACAGAGGCGAUGGCUUUGAAUUGAUGUUAUUCUUACGAUUUUAGUAUGAAUCAUGUUCUUUUGUAAAUUUACUCAUAUUUAUAACUAUUCAAUAUCAUUUUUUUAAAUUUAUUUUUUGGUGAAGUACCAAACUCAACUGAUCAUGAAAUCUCUUGAUUAAAGUAGUAAAGUACUGCGUACUUGAGUUGGGAUAUUUUAUUUUGUUUUGAUUUGUAUGAACAUUGUUAGAAUGGGUGUUGUAAUAUGGUUAAUACUAUUAGCUUUUUAUUUUCUUUCUUCUAAUUUAUUUGUUGAUGUCAUGUUUGUGGAAAUUUAGUAUUAGAGUUUACAUUCUCAUAUAUUGAGAAAUAAUGAUUUUUCGUGCUUAAACUUUAUUUUAAUUUUUUAGUAUUAUUUAAUUUAAGGAUGAAGUUAUUGUAAAAUCUAUUAUUUAUAAUUUUUUAUGCACUAUAUUUUUUUUAUAUUUUAAUAUUAAUUUAAUAAUUACUAAGAAAUAAUUAUUAUUAAAAUUUGAUAUAAUUAAAUUUAUCAAAAUAAAAAAUAUUUUAAUCAUAAAAUUCAAACCAAACUCAAAUGAAUUGAUUUCGAUUAAGUUAUAAAUAUUUGAAUUGGUUUAGGUUGGGCUUAAACUUUUAUAAGUUAGUUUAGAUUGACUUAAAACUCAAACCAACCAACCUAUGCCCACCCAUAUGUAUAUGUAUUUAUACGAAGGAAUUUCAUGCAUUAUUUUGUGGGUGUCCUGUUCCUCUUCCCAUGGUUCCUUACUUAUUCUGGAUGUCAUCGUAUUGGGAAUUAUCUUUCCUGAGUUAAUGCUCCUGAUCAUGGUUUCCUUACUUUAAUCAUUUCGGAUGUAAUCUUAUCCGGAAUAAUAUUUCCUUAGUUAAUUAAGAGGGACACGUGAAAAGAUGUGAUUUCUUAAGAAAUUAGGUACCCACACAAAUCAACCAAGACAGUGGACAUCACAUCAACCGUUCCCAGUUGAGGUCUCGUGAGUGGUUUCAGCCAUCAUGUCAAUGCAGUGGUACAGAGCUGGCGUUAUCGAAAUCUUUUUGCUUCGCUGACGCCAGAAGUGAUGCAUGUGAUUUUGGUGUAUUAUAAUAUUAUUUAUAUUAAAAUAAUAUUAAAUUUAUAUUUAAAAAAAAAUUAUAAGAAAUUGGAGUGCGGCUAAUUCGUCAACUGACGCAUUAAUUAAUCCCGACUCAUUUUUAUUUUAUUUAUUUUUUUUUGAACUUUUGCUUUUAACUUUUGCUUUUUAUUUUAUUAUUAUUAUAAUACUAAAAUAAUAAAUAAAUAUAAUUUUUAAUUUAAUAUAAUAUUUUUAAUUUAUUUGUUUUUAUAUUAUAAUUAUUAAUAUAAAUUAAUAAAUAAAUAAUUUAUCAUUCAAUAAUAGUAUUUUUUUUUAUUUUUACAUUAUAAUUAAUUAAUAAAUUUAUAACUUAUUAUAACUAAUAAAAAUAUUUAAAUAUGAAUAAAUUUGAAUAAUAUUAAUUUAAAAUUAAUAAUAAUAUAAAUAAUAACAUAAAAUAUUAAUGUAAUUUAAAUAUAUUAAUAUAAUAUAAAACAUUAAUAUAAUAUAAUAUUUAAUUUAAAUUAAUUAAAAAAAUAAUAUAGUACAGUGCAACACUAAACAUUAUAUAAUAUUAUUAUAAUACAGUGUCAAUGCAAUACAAUAUAAUACAACACAUCAGUAUUAAAAUAAUAUAAUAUAAUAUAAUAUAAUACAGUGUGACAAACACACCCUAAAUUAUUUAAAUUUAGUCUAUCAUUGCCCGCAAAAUGACAAAAGCAGAAAAAAUUAAAUAUGCUGGAAGGGAUGGAUCAAACAAAAGAAGUUGUGUUGUUUCUAUCAGGUCGCCCAGAAACUGAGAUGUCAUGCCUUAUGUCAUUAGCUGAUCGCUUGCCCCAACGUUACAUCGUAUGGUCAUAUGUAGAUAUAUAGGGCAAUCUUUAGUGUUAAUCAAAGGCUAUGAUCGUACUUUAGCAUGGUGCUGCUGGCUUCAAACUUGAGUCUAUAGCUUCUCAAACGAUAUUCUCGGAGAACUGAAAGUAGCAUUAUUGAUGGAAUUAAUCUCUGUACCUUCAUCAAGUGGUGAAUCUACAACGUUAACUUCAGAUGCAAAACAAACCCACUUAAUAAAUAACCACACCUGUUGACGCCUAGACACCUCAUACAGAGAAAGACACUACUAGAACACCAAAAUAAAUUUCUUAAUCUUACAACGAGCUCAUGGCCAAUCCAGAGACAAAGGAAUCAUCUGAUCUAUUCGAAAAAGUUUUUCAUAAGAAUACUACUCAUAGAGUUUUUGGUGUCACCGUCUUGAUCCUUCUUCUCUGUCUUCUCUUAUGUCGCCUCUUAUCUUUCAAGUAUCAUGGAUUUGCAUUUGCUUGGUUUCUUGCUUUUCUAUGUGAGUCUUGUUUUACUUUCAUCUGGAUUCUCAUCGUCAACUGCAAGUGGACUCUUUUAACCUACAAAACAUAUCCCCAAGUCUCCAAGAAAGGCAACAAAUUAAAUAACGUUAGCAUUAAUAAUAUCCGCAUCAUUUGCAAUUGUCUUUGUCAUUUUGCACGUCAAUACACACACACACACACACACACACACAAUACCAAAUGGGUCAAAAUCAUCUCCAAGUUGCAUCACGUGCCAAGACUUUUCCAAAUUUGAGUCAAAAGACUUGCGAUUUCUUGGCCACUGACAAAUAUAGAAAACGGAUCGAUAAAAUUUUAUCCUCAAAUAAGGAAAUGCUCCUUCUAGCUUCUGAAAUCUACAAUGGGCUUAUCAGAGAGACGUGUUUUAGUUUACAAGAAUUUGAUAAAUAAACUGUAUAUGCUUUUAUUUAUUUUAUAAAAGAACACAUUAAUUAUAUCUGAGCAAAUUAACUCUCAGUGAUUCACAUUUCAUUUUAAAUUAAUUCAAGAAUAUGUAAGCAAAACAGAAUGUUGUUGAUAAUCAUUUUAAGAAAUGAAAUACUUAAGAAGCAGCAGCAGCAAUACAUUGGCAUUUGCCAAUCAAACCAGCUGAAACAGUAGAGAUCACAUGGAUCAGUAGUGGUGGGGUUAGCUUUGAUCAAAUCAUAUCAAAAGAUUUAAAAUUUUGAGAUGAUCUCGUUCUUGUGAACGGUGGCACUUGUGCACAAGCGACACAGCUACGUAUCAUAUCAUUGCAGCACUGCAGGGAAAGGCAAAAAUCUAAAUUUUCUCGAGAUUUGAUGUUGUUUGUAUCAAAUCGUCCAGAAACUCAGGCAUCAUCCCAUGCGUCACUCUUUCUGCAAAAAGUGAGGGUAAAGAUUAUGAUUAGUCUGUAAUCUGUCUUACGUUCUUGUUCAGCUGAAACUUGGCCCUACAGCACUUCGCACUUUAUCUUCAAAUUUGUGGUAUCCACAGUUUCUCUAGAAUGUACGUUAGCCUGAAAAUGAAAUAAAAAAUUCUCAGAAAUUUUUAAGUUUCAUUAUUGAAUUUGCUUUGAUUGCUCAUCUCGAAACACUCCACCAACUCAACUCUUACUCGCCCUCUUGAUUUCAUUGUCUAGAUUAAUUAAUUAAUUGUUGGUUUAAAUGAAUCACAUACUCCAUUAGUGUACUCUACAACUGUCUAAACUAUAAUAUCAAAUAGGACUUUAUUGAAUGAAUGGCAAAUUAGGCUAUAGUUACCUUACAUUAUUAUGUAAGGUACAUAAUUCUUCCACAACCGUUUGAUGAAAAUCUAACAGUUGGGGAAAUAACAUGAUUUUAUUAUCUUAUAUUUCCACAACCGCCGUUUAAUUUUCAUCAAAUGGUUGUGAAAAAGUUAUGUAACUUACAUAAUAAUAUAAGGUAACAAGCUCUGACAAAUUAUGAUUUACAGGUGCGAUACAAAUCUAUUGCCUGCAAUCAUAGUAUUUAUACAUAGGCUGUCUGCAUAAAAAAAUUUGUACUAUAAUUACUUGAAUAUAUUAAUAUAGCAUUUGAGAGUGAGAAGUUAUUUAUUUAAAAAAAAAUGUGAAUACAUUAGACAUGUGAAAGAAUAUUAUUUUUUAUAUAUGAAUUCUUCAAAAUAAAUCACGUGUAAUUGUAAACAUUGUCACCACAUAUAUAAGAGUGCAAAUUGAUUAUAGUGCAGCAGUUUAUGGUAGAUGUCGGAUGGCCAGUCAAUUUGUACGUCGACGAAGAAUUUAGAAUUUUACUGUCUUUUAAAACUUAAAGGGAAACUAAUUAGUGUUUUCAAUGAAUGAGAGGUCCUAAAAAUUUAUUCUGAAAUACACACACACACACACACCACAAAUUUACCAUAUUCUCACAAGCUCUUAUACCAUCCUUUGAUUCUUUUCGGCUAAGGAUAUGCGCUUCAUCACCACAUAUGCAACAAAUGGUCAUUCUUGCAACUAUAAAACCUACUAAAUACCUUUAAAAACCCACAUCUAUUAAUGCCGAAACACCAAAAAUAAAAAAAACGAGUACUUGUUUUUCAAGCUCAUGGCCAAUACAAAGUCGUCAUGUCUCCCUCUAUACGAAAAAGUUUUUCAUAAAAACACAUAUCAUAGGGCUUUAGAUGUUAUCAUCUUGUUCCUUCUUCUAUGUCUGCUCUUCUAUCGGCUCUCAACGUUGAAGAAUCAUGGAUUUGCUUGGUUUCUUGCUUUUCUAUGUGAGUCUUGUUUUACUUUCAUCUGGAUUCUCAUCGUCAACUGCAAGUGGACUCCUUUGACCUACAAAACAUAUCCCCAACGUCUCCAAGAAAGGUAACAAAUCAAAUAACGUUAGCAUUAAUAAUUUCCGCAUCAUUUGCAAUUGUCUUUGUCAUUUUGCAAGUUACUACACACACACACACACACACAUGUGUACGACUCAACAGGAUA
rnacentral:lncRNA from 1 species